rnacentral:piRNA from 1 species
UUUGAAUAUUCUGACUCUGAU